AUGCACGCUAGCUACAGGCUUAACACAUGCCAGUCGCGGGGAAACGACAUCGAAAGCUUGCUUUUGAUGGGCGUCGACCGGCGCACGGGUGAGUAACGCGUAUCCAACCUGCCCAUCACUUGGGAAUAACCUUGCGAAAGUAAGACUAAUACCCAAUGACAUCCCACGAAGACAUCUGAAUGGGAUUAAAGAUUUAUCGGUGAUGGAUGGGGAUGCGUCUGAUUAGCUUGUUGGCGGGGUAACGGCCCACCAAGGCAACGAUCAGUAGGGGUUCUGAGAGGAAGGUCCCCCACAUUGGAACUGAGACACGGUCCAAACUCCUACGGGAGGCAGCAGUGAGGAAUAUUGGUCAAUGGGCGAGAGCCUGAACCAGCCAAGUAGCGUGCAGGAUGACGGCCCUAUGGGUUGUAAACUGCUUUUAUAAGGGAAUAGAGUGGGUCUCGUGAGACUUUUUGCAUGUACCUUAUGAAUAAGGACCGGCUAAUUCCGUG
rnacentral:rRNA from 1 species